AUCACCAGGGCAGGCCUUCCUUGCCAGGACCUCGAGUUUGUUCAGUUCCACCCCACAGGCAUAUAUGGUGCUGGUUGUCUCAUUACGGAAGGAUGUCGUGGAGAGGGAGGCAUUCUCAUUAACAGUCAAGGCGAAAGGUUUAUGGAGCGAUACGCCCCUGUCGCGAAGGACCUGGCGUCUAGAGAUGUGGUGUCUCGGUCGAUGACUCUGGAGAUCCGAGAAGGAAGGUGCGUGUGAUUUACCACCAGCACUGUCUGAGCGGGCACACGGGCCGGGAUUGCUUCUGUGAGUUUUAGCACCGCUCGCCCUCACCUUCGUGUGCAGGUGCAUGUGCACAGCCACCUCUCUCAGCUGCCGGCAGGCGUCUGUUAGUCUGUGAUAUUUUUCUAAAGACCUACAUUUUGAAAAUUUUAGCCAGUUUCUUUCUCAAAUCUGUGAAACAGAGUUUCUCUUAGUGUGUGUGAGUAUGUGAUGGAGUAUGGGAGAGAGAGACACACACCCAACCUGAAGUCAGCAUGUGAGCCUUGGGUGUUGUGUCUGAUACCCACAGAUGUUUUUUGGCAGCUUUCAAAGUGUGUGGGUUAUUUGGCUUUCAGUAAAACAAUUUGCAGCUCUUUCAUUGCCUGACCGUAUUCUUUAAUGUAAUGACACUUGCUAAAUAUCUGCUGGUAUGGCCUUUAGAGGUUUUACAUUUUUAAAUUUAAAAAAACAGAGAAGUCAGGCGUGAGCCACCACGCCGGGCCUACUUCCCUCUCUCUCUGACCUGCAGCACAGACACCCUGUUGGGGAAGGUGGGCUGGUGGAGGCAUGGGCACCUUGACAUUUCACCUGAAAUCUUCCUUUCCACAGGUCCUGAGGCACGUGAAUGGCCAGGAUCAGAUUGUGCCUGGCCUGUACGCCUGUGGGGAGGCCGCCUGUGCCUCGGUACAUGGUGCCAACCGCCUUGGGGCAAACUCGCUCUUGGACCUGGUUGUCUUUGGUCGGGCAUGUGCCCUGAGCAUCGAAGAGUCAUGCAGGCCUGGAGAUAAAGUCCCUCCAAUUAAACCAAACGCUGGGGAAGAAUCUGUCAUGAAUCUUGACAAAUUGAGAUUUGCUGAUGGAAGCAUAAGAACAUCGGAACUGCGACUCAACAUGCAGAAGUCAAUGCAAAAUCAUGCUGCCGUGUUCCGUGUGGGAAGCGUGUUGCAAGAAGGUUGUGGGAAAAUCAGCAAGCUCUAUGGAGACCUAAAGCACCUGAAGACGUUCGACCGGGGAAUGGUCUGGAACACGGACCUGGUGGAGACCCUGGAGCUGCAGAACCUGAUGCUGUGUGCGCUGCAGACCAUCUACGGAGCAGAGGCGCGGAAGGAGUCACGGGGCGUGCAUGCCAGGGAAGACUACAAGGUGCGGAUUGAUGAGUACGAUUACUCCAAGCCCAUCCAGGGGCAACAGAAGAAGCCCUUUGAGGAGCACUGGAGAAAGCACACCCUGUCGUAUGUGGACGUUGGCACUGGGAAGGUCACUCUGGAAUAUAGACCCGUAAUCGACAAAACUUUGAACGAGGCUGACUGUGCCACCGUCCCGCCAGCCAUUCGCUCCUACUGAUGAGACAAGAUGUGGUGAUGACAGAAUCAGCUUUUGUAAUUAUGUAUAAUAGCUCAUGCAUGUGUCCAUGUCAUAACUGUCUUCAUACGCGUCUGCACUCUGGGGAAGAAGGAGUACAUUGAAGGGAGAUUGGCACCCAGGCUGGGAGCUUGCCAGGAACCCAGUGGCCAGGGAGCGUGGCAGUUACCUUUGUCCCUUGCUUCAUUCUUGUGAGAUGAUAAAACUG
rnacentral:sRNA from 1 species